rnacentral:rRNA from 1 species
GAUGAACGCUGGCGGCGUGCCUAAUACAUGCAAGUCGAGCGAACGGACGAGAAGCUUGCUUCUCUGAUGUUAGCGGCGGACGGGUGAGUAACACGUGGAUAACCUACCUAUAAGACUGGGAUAACUUCGGGAAACCGUAGCUAAUACCGGAUAAUAUUUUGAACCGCAUGGUUCAAAAGUGACAGACGGUCUUGCUGUCACUUAUAGAUGGAUCCGCGCUGCAUUAGCUAGUUGGUAAGGUAACGGCUUACCAAGGCAACGAUGCAUAGCCGACCUGAGGGGGUGAUCGGCCACACUGGAACUGAGACACCGUCCAGACUCCUACGGGAGGCAGCAGUAGGGAAUCUUCCGCAAUGGGCGAAAGCCUGACGGAGCAACGCCGCGGGAGUGAUGAAGGUCUUCGGAUCGUAAAACUCUGUUAUUAGGGAAGAACAUAUGUGUAAGUAACUGUGCACAUCUUGACGGUACCUAAUCAGAAAGCCACGGCUAACUACGU